rnacentral:pre_miRNA from 1 species
UCGGCAAUUCAGACUGACAUGACUGAUAUUCUGGUUCAUGUUCAUCUGAAUUGUUGGCA